rnacentral:lncRNA from 1 species
UUCUCUAAGGUUACCAUCCCUGCAAGCUGACUAUGCCCGCGUAUAAACCCGAAUGCACUCAGCAGUUCAAACCCUAUGCGGAGCCGCCGACUCCGGUGGCCAUAUCCUCGGGGGUUGCUACAACCCACAACUCAGCGCCAUGUACAUUAAACGCCACAACAUAGCCGUCCAAACAAUCGCUCGCACCUUGUCCCGCGGCAAACACGGCGGCGGAUACAUGGUCAUGGACGCUACAUCACGAGACCACCUACCCGACUACGCCGACAGCACCCGCCUGCCAGAAUGUUAACUUGGGCGACCUCGGCGGGAGCAAACAACGUGGCGGGGGCAGGCCCCGCCUGCACGCCCGCCUCUCUCCCCGGUAGCGGGGGUGUACCAUCACCCCCCGCUCCCUUAACCUACACUACCACCUAGGUGGGGUGCAACUACUUCUAUUCUAUUUCUGUGAGCCCGUCAUAAAAACAUGCAUGGUCUGAGAUGGCUGCCCAAGUGCCCAGGCUGCAGACUUCCCUGCCCCUUGCUUACCGGCUAGGACUCACUGUGCGCGGAGUCACACGGACUUUGCCCGCGGGAGGGUUUGCAGCAAAGUCGGGGUUGGUGGAGUCAUGUUGGGCCCUGAUAGCAUGUGAUGGCUCGGCGUCUUCGGGUGCUGGGACUGUCCCCUCUGUAACAUCCGCAUUCUUACCGGGCCCUGCUACUUUCAGCUUCAGUCCACGCGGCGGCCUGCCUCUUCAUGCAUCCAUGCUCAUGCGCGCCAGGCUGAUCUAGCCUGUCAUUGGCGACUCGAAAGACAAAGGCACAGGAUGCACGUUGCAAAGGCCUGACGGGGGCGCUGCCGGGCCGUUACUGUGGAUGGGGUGUGUGCGUGUCUGUCGGGGCUGGUGGGGGUUGCACGCCGGCUCGCAGUUUCCGGAGGCCAUUGACCAGACUGCUUCACCUCCUCAAAAACUUUGGCUAUGAGCUUGGGGAUGUGGUCAUGCAUCAUAGCCAUAGCGGCGCGAAUCCCAACGGUGAUAGUGCGUAUGCCCGCACACCGUGCACACAUUCCGACCAUCCCAACUGCUACUCACCUCAUCGCUGUCUUCACCCAGCGUCACCAUACAAACAGACAUUCCGGCUGCCUGUUCUGCAGCUCCAUGGCAGCUGCGACCCCUCCGCCCAUGGGCCUCCCAUGGCCACGGCUGUCACAGGCCAAAUUGCACCCUUGCCGCUGGUCGCGGCCAGGUUGCCAAGAAAGUCCGAGGCCGUUAUGCUGCAGAGGCUUGAAAUACUGCCAAUGUAUGAUUGUGUCUUGUCUCGCGGCCCAUGCUCGCGGCGCUGGUCGCCGAGAAAAGGCAGUUGUGGCGCAAUGAAUAUAACCUUCUUUAUGUCUCGUAUAACCUAUGCAACUGUUGGCCGAAACAGACCAAAUUGACCACAUUGACAAUUGGCCCCGAAUUGGCCUCGC